rnacentral:rRNA from 1 species
GUCCAGACUCCUACGGGAGGCAGCAGUGGGGAAUAUUGCACAAUGGGGGAAACCCUGAUGCAGCGACGCCGCGUGAGUGAAGAAGUAUCUCGGUAUGUAAAGCUCUAUCAGCAGGGAAGAAAAUGACGGUACCUGACUAAGAAGCCCCGGCUAACUACGUGCCAGCAGCCGCGGUAAUACGUAGGGGGCAAGCGUUAUCCGGAUUUACUGGGUGUAAAGGGAGCGUAGACGGCUGUGCAAGCCAGAUGUGAAAGCCCGGGGCUCAACCCCGGGACUGCAUUUGGAACUGCGUGGCUUGAGUGUCGGAGAGGCAGGCGGAAUUCCUAGUGUAGCGGUGAAAUGCGUAGAUAUUAGGAGGAACACCAGUGGCGAAGGCGGCCUGCUGGACGAUGACUGACGUUGAGGCUCGAAAGCGUGGGGAGCAAACAGGAUUAGAUACCCGGGUA